rnacentral:rRNA from 1 species
AUUUGACGUUACCUACAGAAGAAGCACCGGCUAACUCCGUGCCAGCAGCCGCGGUAAUACGGAGGGUGCGAGCGUUAAUCGGAAUUACUGGGCGUAAAGCGCAUGCAGGUCGGCCUGUUAAGUCAGAUGUGAAAGCCCGGGGCUUAACCUCGGAAUUGCAUUUGAAACUGGCAGGCUAGAGUCUUGUAGAGGGGGUAGAAUUUCAGGUGUAGCGGUGAAAUGCGUAGAGAUCUGAAGGAAUACCAGUGGCGAACGGCGGCCCCCCUGGACAAAGACUGACGCUCAGAUGCGAAAGCGUGGGGAGCAAACAGGAUUAGAUACCCUGGUAG